rnacentral:rRNA from 1 species
GAUGAACGCUGGCGGCGUGCCUAAUACAUGCAAGUCGAGCGAACGGACGAGAAGCUUGCUUCUCUGAUGUUAGCGGCGGACGGGUGAGUAACACGUGGAUAACCUACCUAUAAGACUGGGAUAACUUCGGGAAACCGGAGCUAAUACCGGAUAAUAUUUUGAACCGAAUGGUUCAAGAGUGAAAGACGGUCUUGCUGUCACUUAUAGAUGGAUCCGCGCUGCAUUAGCUAGUUGGUAAGGUAACGGCUUACCAAGGCAACGAUGCAUAGCCGACCUGAGAGGGUGAUCGGCCACACUGGAACUGAGACACGGUCCAGACUCCUACGGGAGGCAGCAGUAGGGAAUCUUCCGCAAUGGGCGAAAGCCUGACGGAGCAACGCCGCGUGAGUGAUGAAGGUCUUCGGAUCGUAAAACUCUGUUAUUAGGGAAGAACAUAUGUGUAAGUAACUGUGCACAUCUUGACGGUACCUAAUCAGAAAGCCACGGCUAACUACGUG